UAGGAUAUAGUGAAAUUAGGUAGCACGAAGAAGUUUGAAUUCUUAAGAGUAGGUUCAAUUCCUAUUGUCCUAG
rnacentral:tRNA from 1 species